GGCGGUUCGCCGCCCCCGACGUCGCGAGAAGUCCAUUGAACCUUAUCAUUUAGAGGAAGGAGAAGUCGUAACAAGGUUUCCGUAGGUGAACCUGCGGAAGGAUCAUUGUCGUGACCCGAAACCAAAACCGACCGCGAACGCGUCACCCUGCCCGGUCGCGCGCCGGGGAUCCGUCCCCGUCGUGUGSCCAAGGCCGCCGACCUCCGUCAGGAGGGGAGCGGCCGCAAAAGAACCCACGGCGCCGAAUGGCGUCAAGGAACACUUGAUAUUGCCUUGCGCGGKGCUGCGGCCGGCCUGCCGGUCGCUCCACGCGCAGCGAUUCCAUACUUAAUCCACACGACUCUCGGCAACGGAUAUCUCGGCUCUCGCAUCGAUGAAGAACGUAGCAAAAUGCGAUACCUGGUGUGAAUUGCAGAAUCCCGCGAACCAUCGAGUUUUUGAACGCAAGUUGCGCCCGAGGCCUUCUGGCCGAGGGCACGCCUGCCUGGGCGUCACGCCAAAAGACACUCCCCACCCAAACCCGGUGAGGACGUGGUGUUUGGCUCCCCGCGCUGCAAGGUGCGGUGGGCCGAAGUUGGGGCUGCCGGCGAACCGUGCCGGACACAGCACAUGGUGGUCGACCAAAAGUUGUCACGGUGUUGUGUCUCGGCGCGCAGCYGGCGAGACGGCCCUUAGGACCCUUUCGACCGCAGCGCACGUCGCUCGGACCGCGACCCCAGGUCAGGCGGGACUACCCGCUGAAUUUAAGCAUAUAAAUAAG
rnacentral:rRNA from 1 species